GAUGAACGCUAGCUACAGGCUUAACACAUGCAAGUCGAGGGGCAGCAUGGUCUUAGCUUGCUAAGGCCGAUGGCGACCGGCGCACGGGUGAGUAACACGUAUCCAACCUGCCGUCUACUCUUGGACAGCCUUCUGAAAGGAAGAUUAAUACAAGAUGGCAUCAUGAGUCCGCAUGUUCACAUGAUUAAAGGUAUUCCGGUAGACGAUGGGGAUGCGUUCCAUUAGAUAGUAGGCGGGGUAACGGCCCACCUAGUCUUCGAUGGAUAGGGGUUCUGAGAGGAAGGUCCCCCGCAUUUGAACUAAGACACGGUCCAAACUCCUACGGGAGGCAGCAGUGAGGAAUAUUAGUCAAUAGACGCAGGCCUGAACCAGCCAAGUAGCGUGAAGGAUGACUGCCCUAUGGAUUGUAAACUACUUUUAUAAAGGAAUAAAGUCGGGUAUGUAUACCCGUUUGCAUGUACUUUAUGAAUAAGGAUCGGCUAGCUCCGUG
rnacentral:rRNA from 1 species